UGUUCCGGAAGAAAAGUACACUUCACUCCACUCCCUCCUUCCGCAACACACCUUUUCGUGAGCUUUCUACUCCCCGAACCUGCCCAGCAGAAUGCGAAGGCCACCCCAAUGUCACCGGAGCUUAUCGUCAGGCUAUCUGGUCAGUCUGGCUGCCCCCCGAUGCUUGCCAGGUGUAGAGACUGCUGGUAGCCUUAGCACCCAACCCACGGGAGGUCAUGGGGAUAAAGAAGACAGGAAAAAGGACUGAAAAGGACCAGCCAGCACAAUAGGAGGAGCACAGUUUUGAGGUAAUUAGAACUUAAAUUAGAGUUCAGAAAGCCAGCAAAGCGAGGUGGUAAAGGAAUAAGCUCUGGAACAGAAUCUUGAUUCUA